rnacentral:rRNA from 1 species
GAGUUUGAUCGUGGCUCAGGACGAACGCUGGCGGCGCGCUUAACACAUGCAAGUCGAGCGAGAACCAGGCCUUCGGGCCUGGGGACAGCGGCGAACGGGUGGAGUAACACGUGGGUAAUCAACCCUCGAUACUGGGAUAGCCCGGGGAAACCCGGAUUAAUACCGGAUGGCCCUUUGGAUCCUCGGAUCUGAAGGAAAGGUAGCUUCGGCCUCCGAUCGAGGACGAGCCCGCGGCGGAUUAGCUUGUUGGUGAGGUAAAGGCUCACCAAGGCGACGAUCCGUAGCUGGUCUGAGAGGACGAUCAGCCACACUGGGACUGAGACACGGCCCAGACUCCUACGGGAGGCAGCAGUGGGGAAUCUUGCGCUAAUGCGGGAAACCGUGACGCAGCGACGCCGCGUGAGGGAAGAAGGCCUCGGUUGUAA